rnacentral:rRNA from 1 species
AUUGAACGCUGGCGGCAUGCCUUACACAUGCAAGUCGAACGGUAACAGGUCUUCGGAUGCUGACGAGUGGCGAACGGGUGAGUAAUACAUCGGAACGUGCCCGAGAGUGGGGGAUAACGAAGCGAAAGCUUUGCUAAUACCGCAUACGAUCUCAGGAUGAAAGCAGGGGACCGCAAGGCCUUGCGCUCACGGAGCGGCCGAUGGCAGAUUAGGUAGUUGGUGGGAUAAAAGCUUACCAAGCCGACGAUCUGUAGCUGGUCUGAGAGGACGACCAGCCACACUGGGACUGAGACACGGCCCAGACUCCUACGGGAGGCAGCAGUGGGGAAUUUUGGACAAUGGGCGCAAGCCUGAUCCAGCCAUGCCGCGUGCAGGAUGAAGGCCUUCGGGUUGUAAACUGCUUUUGUACGGAACGAAAAGACUCCUUCUAAUAAAGGGGGUCCAUGACGGUACCGUAAGAAUAAGCACCGGCUAACUACGUGCCAGCAGCCGCCGCCGUAA